GUCGAGAAUAAUUCACAAUGGGGGAAACCCUGAUGGUGCAACGCCGCGUGGAGGAUGAAGGUCUUCGGAUUGUAAACUCCUGUCAUCUGGGAGUAAGACCUGACGGUGAAUAGCCGGCAGGGUUGAUAGUACCAGAAGAGGAAGGGACGGCUAACUUCGUGCCAGCAGCCGCGGUAAUACGAAGGUCCCAAGCGUUGUUCGGAAUCACUGGGCGUAAAGGGAGCGUAGGCGGCGUGGUAAGUCAGAUGUGAAAUCCCGGGGCUCAACCCCGGAACUGCAUCAGAUACUGCCAUGGUUGAGGGUUGGAGAGGUAGCUGGAAUUCUCGGUGUAGCAGUGAAAUGCGUGGAUAUCGAGAGGAACACUCGUGGCGAAGGCGAGCUACUGGACAACAUCUGACGCUGAGGCUCGAAGGCUAGGGGAGCAAAAGGGAUUAGAUACCCCAGUAGUCC
rnacentral:rRNA from 1 species